GGUCUGGUGGUGUAGUUGGUUAUCACGUCAGUCUAACAGAUUCGAGGCCAACUCGAAGCUGAGCACACUGAAGGUCUCCGGUUCAAGUCCGGGCUAGAUCA
rnacentral:tRNA from 1 species